UGCAAGUCGAGCGGAAUGAUGAAGAAGCUUGCUUCUUCUGAUUUUAGCGGCGGACGGGUGAGUAACACGUGGGCAACCUACCUUGUAGAUUGGGAUAACUCCGGGAAACCGGGGCUAAUACCGAAUAAUCCAUUUUGCUUCAUGGCAGAAUGUUGAAAGACGGUUUCGGCUGUCACUAUGAGAUGGGCCCGCGGCGUAUUAGCUAGUUGGUAGGGUAAUGGCCUACCAAGGCGACAAUACGUAGCCGACAUGAGAGGGUGAUCGGCCACACUGGGACUGAGACACGGCCCAGACUCCUACAGGAGGCAGCAGUAUGGAAUCUUCCACAAUGGACGAAAGUCUGAUGGAGCAACGCCGCGUGAAGUGAAGAAGGUUUUCGGAUCGUAAAACUCUGUUGUAAGGGAAGAACACGUACGAGAGUAACUGCUCGUACCUUGACACUACCUUAUUAGAAAGCCACGGCUAACUA
rnacentral:rRNA from 1 species